CAGCACCUCAAGUGGUCAGGAUGAUUAUUGGGCCUAAAGCAUCCGUAGCCGGUGCUGUAAGUUUUCGGUUAAAUCUGUACGCUCAACGUACAGGCUGCCCGGAAUACUGCAGCGCUAGGGAGUGGGAGAGGUAGACGGUACUCGGUAGGAAGGGGUAAAAUCCUUUGAUCUAUUGAUGACCACCUGUGGCGAAGGCGGUCUACCAGAACACGUCCGACGGUGAGGGAUGAAAGCUGGGGGAGCAAACCGGAUUAGAGACCCGAGUAGUCC
rnacentral:rRNA from 1 species